GAUCCUGGCUCAGGACGAACGCUGGCGGCGUGCCUAACACAUGCAAGUCGAGCGGAGACAGUGAGUAGCUUGCUAUGAGCUGUUUUAGCGGCGGACGGGUGAGUAACGCGUGAGCAACCUUUCCCAGACAGGGGAAUAACACACCGAAAGGUGUACUAAUACCGCAUAAGACCACGGGAUCACAUGGUUCUGGGGUAAAAGAAUUAUCGUUGGGGUUGGGGCUCGCGUCCGAUUAGGUAGUUGGUGAGGUAACGG
rnacentral:rRNA from 1 species